UACGUAGGGUGCAAGCGUUGUCCGGAAUUAUUGGGCGUAAAGAGCUCGUAGGCGGUCUGUCGCGUCUGCUGUGAAAACUCGGGGCUUAACCCCGGGCCUGCAGUGGGUACGGGCAGACUAGAGUGCGGUAGGGGAGACUGGAAUUCCUGGUGUAGCGGUGAAAUGCGCAGAUAUCAGGAGGAACACCGAUGGCGAAGGCAAGUCUCUGGGCAUUAACUGACGCUGAGGAGCGAAAGCAUGGGGAGCGAACAGG
rnacentral:rRNA from 1 species